rnacentral:rRNA from 1 species
UAACUUUUGGGUUUGAUUCUGGCUCCGGAAGAACGCUAGCAGCAAGCUUUAGACAUGCAAGUAUAAAAACGAUUUUUUGUUUUUGCGCACGGGCGAGAAAGUUAAAGAACUUUUUAUUGAUCGGAGUAGUGAAAAAAGUAGUUUUUCGAAAUAAAUGGCUUUAACGAGAUCAGGUAGUUGGUGUAGUACAAUCGCUCACCAAGCCAAAGACCUCAAGUAGUUCUGAGUAGGAAGAUCUACCGCAUCGAAACUGAAAUAAGGUUCGAACUCUAUAAAGAGGCAGCAGUCAGGAAUCUUGGACAAUGGGCGAAAGCUUGAUCCAGCUAUGCUGCGUGAUGAAAAUAGGCUUUUUUAAGUCUGGUUUAUCGUUAAUCAAAAAAAUAAGAUUAUUUGUCUUAAAAAGUCCUGGCAAACUUCGUGCCAGCAGCCGCGGUAAAACGAAGAGGGCGAGCGUUUUCCACAAGGACUGGGCGUAAAACGUGAGUGGGUUGGUUUUUUAUUAAGAAUUAGAUCCUUUUCUUUUUUCCCAAAGAAAAUGUUUUUUCUCGAAAACUUAGAGAAUAUUAAAAAGGUACGGGUAAUUACGAGCGUAGAGCUAAGAUUCUAAAAUCCUCGUAGGAAAGCCAGAGGUGAAAGCCCCUACCAAGAAAUUUCUGUCACUAUAUCACGAAAGCGUGGGGAGCAAAAAGGAUUAGAUACCCUUGUAGUCCACGCCGUCAACGAUGCUAGUUACUUUUUUGUUAACACAAAAACUAGCUGCCUGGGAAGUACGGUUGCAAAACUAAAACCCAAAGAAACUGUCGGGAGUCGGCCUUAGCGAUGGAGUAUGCUGCUUUAUUCGAUGCAACGCGCAGAACCUUACCAUUUUUUGAAAACUAUACGAGUUUUUGAUUCUGUAGCACAGGUAUUGCAUGGCUGUCGUCAGUUCGUGUCGUAAGACGUUUGGUUUAGUCCUUUUUACGAAUGAAAUACAUAUUUUCUAUUUCUGAUGAAGAAAAGAAAAAAAAUCUCUAAAAAUAAUUAGUUCGAUUGAAAAUUGUGCGAUGUCAAGUCUUUAUGGUCUCAAUAAAAUGGGCUGCAAGCAUACUACAAUAUAAAAAAUAGAAAGUUGCGCGAUUGCGAAAGGAAGCUAUCCUUUAAUUUUUUAUAAACGGAUUGUUUUCUGUCACUCGAAAACAUGAAGAAGGAAUCGCAAGUAAUCGUAAAUAAGUUAUGUUACGGUGAAAGAGUAUCCUGGCUUUGAACACACCGCCCGUCACACGCUAGCAUUUGCUUGUUUUCAAAAUAAUAACUCUUUUUUUAUUGUGUUGUUAUGCUUUAAAAAAAAAAGUGAUUAUAAAAAAGCAGGGAAAAACUGGGGUGAAGUCGUAACAAGGUUGCCGUAGAGGAAUCUGUGGCAGGAUUAUCUCAAGC